UGCACGGUCCUUAGAUCCUCCAGCCGGGACGCUUGUCCACCAACUUGACCGGUUGGCGAUGGCUGGAGCAUGAGUCAUUGCCGUGUGACAGCAGCAGUGCAGUAUACCUGAGCGGCAGCCGCCGUUGUGCCCCGCCCCGUCCUCGGCCGUCUCUGUGUGCUGACUCA